ACUCGAGGUAUGUUCCUUGAAAUUUUUCUUUGAAUUUGCUCCUCCAACUUGAAUUCUUUGAACUUGAGACCUGGGCCAAUGAAGUGUGGCUUUCUUCCAAUUUUUCUUGAGAGAUUUUGAGGCCUUCUUGUAUUCUUCCAACUUGCUAUGUUUCUUGCAAAACAAAUUAUCUUUCUUCUUGCAACACAACCAUUAGUAAUUAUAUUUCAAGAUUU
rnacentral:lncRNA from 1 species